rnacentral:rRNA from 1 species
CCGUCUUGAAACACGGACCAAGGAGUCUAGCGUGUGCGCGAGUCAUUGGGUGUAAAACCUAAAGGCGUAAUGAAAGUGUCAGAGGGCGCUCCGCGUCCUCAGUGGGAGGAUGGGCUUCCGGCUUUACGGCCGGCGCCCCGCACUCCCGGGGCGUUUCAUUCUCAAUUUGAGUAGAGACGCACCAGGAGCGCACACGCUGGUACCCGAAAGAUGGUGAACUAUGCCUGGCCAGGACGAAGCCAGGGGAAACCCUGGUGGAGGUCCGAAGCGAUUCUGACGUGCAAAUCGAUCGUCUGAGCUGGGUAUAGGGGCGAAAGACCAAUCGAACCAUCUAGUAGCUGGUUCCCUCCGAAGUUUCCCUCAGGAUAGC